GGGGAUUUAGCUCAUCGGCGUAAGCGCCUGUCUUGCAAGCAGGCAGUCUUGAGUUCAAUCCCCA
rnacentral:tRNA from 1 species